rnacentral:tRNA from 1 species
UCCCUGAUAGCUUAGUUGGUAAAGAAUCUGCUUGCAAUGCAGGAGACCCUGGUUCGAUCCCUGGGUUGGGAA